rnacentral:lncRNA from 1 species
UGUGUUAUCAGGAGAAAAUGACUCAAAACGCCUAUAUGCGUUAAUCGACUCCAGAGUUAAAAGGCUGUCAUGACUUUUUUUCCUUCCAGUAUUAAUAAGCUGUAUCACGCUGUCAAAUUAUAUUUCAUUUUGCACACAUAAACAGCUCAAAAAUACCUGAAUUCUGCUCUUGUUGUGUUCUAAUGGGUGGAUUAGUUCAUUUGCUGUGAUAUUAUUUUUGGAAGCUCUUAAAAAAUGCUGAUGAAGCGCUCAUUUCUCUCUCGUCUUUCUCUCUGUUCUUUGGUCAGAGACAUAAUUUAUUAAUGAGAUCUGACCCGGUAAUAAUAACAUAUGUUGGUUUAGCUUGUCAGUGUGAAUGAAAUGUGUAGCCUAUUUAUUUGUCUGAUCUCGGCCUGAAACUUUUUUUUUCCUUCGCGAUGUCAAAUAUUGCAUUUUGCACACAUACAUGGCUCCAAAACCCCUGGAUUUUGCUCUUGUUGUGUUCUAAUGGAUGGAUUGUGUGCAUUCGCAGGAAUAUUUAUUUUAAGAAGCGCUUAAAAAAAACAUAUAAAUGACUUUACCAUGUUGUGCAGCGCUGAUCAAUCUAUGUGACGUUCAGUCUGACAGAGAAAAUCUCACAAGCACAUAUACACUCAUUUUUAUGUGUAUAAUAUAUUCUUCUAAUUCAAUUUUUCUCAGACAAUGCAAGUCUAUGGGUAAUAUAUUUUUACAUAAAACAAUUAAUUAAAAAAAACUUUAAGUCUGAUCAGUCUGAAAAGAUAUAGCACACACCACCGCUCUAUCCUGCAGGUUUCUGCAGAGUUUGGGGCUUGUGGCUUUAAAGCCCAAGGAGGAGUAGCGUUUGGAAUUUUUCUCAUAUAUUUUACAUAAAAAAAAAAAUAAAAAAAAAAUAAAAAAACCUUUAAGUCUGAUCAGUCUGAAAAGAUAUAGCACACACCACCGCUCUAUCCCGCAGGUUUCUGCCGAGUUUGGGGCUUGUGGCUUUAAAGCCCUAGGAGGAGUAGCGUUUGGAAUUGUUCCGAGAAAAAUAAUAAGAAGAAAAAGAAGAAGAAGUUUAAAUAGCAUAACAGUAUGUUGGCUUGUUGCCAAGCCAACAUAACUAGAAAAAAAGUUUGUUGAGAAAAACUUUAAGUUGGCUUGAGAAAGCCUGACCAGAAAGUUUGAAGAAGUUUAAAGAAGUUUGAAGUUUAUAGUUUAAAGUUAGAUUGAUUAGCUAAAAGAAAGAAAGAUAUAUUAGUUAGAAAGAACGACAGAUAGAUUAGUUAGAAAGAAUGAUAUAGAUUAGCUCAAAAGAAAGAAUGAUAGAUAGAUUAGUUUGACAGAAAGAAUGCAUGCGACUGACAUGUUUUUAGCAUGACUAACAUGUUGCUAGCAUGUUUCUAGCAUGAUUAACAUGCG